CCUACGGGGGGCAGCAGUGAGGAAUAUUGGUCAAUGGGCUAAGGCCUGAACCAGCCAAGUCGCGUGAGGGAAGACGGUCCUAUGGAUUGUAAACCUCUUUUGUCGGGGAGCAACGAGGCCACGUGUGGCCGAAGUGAGAGUACCCGAAGAAAAAGCAUCGGCUAACUCCGUGCCAGCAGCCGCGGUAAUACGGAGGAUGCGAGCGUUAUCCGGAUUUAUUGGGUUUAAAGGGUGCGUAGGCGGAACAUUAAGUCAGCGGUAAAAUCGAGGGGCUCAACCCCUUUAAGCCGUUGAAACUGGUGAUC
rnacentral:rRNA from 1 species